UACAGGGGGUGCAAACGUUGCUCGGAAUCAUUGGGCGUAAAGCGCACGUAGGCGGCUCGUUAUGUCGGAUGUGAAAGCCCUUGGCUUAACCGAGGAAGUGCAUCCGAAACUGGCGAGCUAGAGUACGAAAGAGGAUCGCGGAAUUCCCGGUGCAGAGGUGAAAUUCGUAGAUAUCGGGAGGAACACCGGUGGCGAAGGCGGCGAUCUGGGUCGAUACUGACGCUGAGGUGCGAAAGCGUGGGGAGCAAACAGG
rnacentral:rRNA from 1 species